AGCUGUGCGUCAAGAAAAGCCGCUAUUGUUCAUACCAUACCCGUACCGUAAACCGACACAGGUGGAUGAGGAGAGAAUCCUAAGGCCGGCGGAAGAAGCAUUGUCAAGGAACUCGGCAAAAUGACCCCGUAACUUCGGGAGAAGGGGUGCCUGCGAGAGCAGGCCGCAGAGAAUAGGCUCAAGCAACUGUUUAGCAAAAACACAGGUCUAUGCGAAACCGAAAGGUGAGGUAUAUGGGCUGACGCCUGCCCGGUGCUGGAAGGUUAAGAGGAGAGGUUAGCGGUAACGCGAAGCUUUGAAUUUAAGCCCCAGUAAACGGCGGCCGUAACUAUAACGGUCCUAAGGUAGCGAAAUUCCUUGUCGGGUAAGUUCCGACCCGCACGAAAGGCGUAAUGAUUUGAGCGCUGUCUCGACAAUGCAUCCGGUGAAAUUGAAGUACCAGUGAAGAUGCUGGUUACCUGCGCCAGGACGGAAAGACCCCAUGGAGCUUUACUCCAGUUUGGUACUGGGAUCCGGUACUGCAUGUACAGGAUAGGUGGGAGGCUGAGAAUCGGUAACGCCAGUUGCCGAGGAGCCGCUGUUGGGAUACCACCCUUGCAGUAUUGGGUUUCUAACCAGCCGCCGUGACCCGGCGGUGGGACAAUGCCAGACGGGGAGUUUGACUGGGGCGGUCGCCUCCGAAAGGGUAUCGGAGGCGCCCAAAGGUUCCCUCAGGAUGGACGGAAACCAUCCAAAGAGUGCAAAGGCAGAAGGGAGCUUGACUGCGACACCGACGGGUGGAGCAGGUACGAAAGUAGGGCUUAGUGAUCCGGUGGUAUUAAGUGGGAAUGCCAUCGCUCAACGGAUAAAAGCUACCCUGGGAUAACAGGCUUAUCACUCCCAAGAGUUCACAUCGACGGAGUGGUUUGGCACCUCGAUGUCGGCUCAUCGCAUCCUGGGGCUGUAGUAUGUCCCAAGGGUUGGGCUGUUCGCCCAUUAAAGCGGUACGCGAGCUGGGUUCAGAACGUCGUGAGACAGUUCGGUCCCUAUCCGGCGUGGGCGUAGGAUAUCUGAGAGGAGCUGUCCUUAGUACGAGAGGACCGGGAUGGACGGGCCGCUGGUGCACCGGUUAGACUGCCAAGUCUAUAGCCGGGUAGCCAAGCCCGGAAGGGAUAAACGCUGAAGGCAUCUAAGCGUGAAGCCCCCCUCAAGAUGAGAUAUCCCAUCCGAAAGGAGUAAACCCCCUUGAAGACGACGAGGUCGAUAGGGCAGAGGUGGAAGUGUGGUAACACAUGGAGCUGACUGCUACUAAUAGGGUGAGGGCUUGACC
rnacentral:rRNA from 1 species